ACACUGGUUGCCGUUCCCCGAAACGCUAAUAUAUUGGUGGUGUGUGUGCUUUAUUUUUUGUUAUUGUGUUUCCAAUUCUCCAUUUGGUAAUUAAACGGCCGGACGGGACAAACGGACAGCCAAGGCGAAUCGUAUAUGUUUUUUUGUGUUGUUUUUGCUUUUUCGGCUUUCAAUUGAAAACGAUGAAAUUCUCAUGCGUGUGUGUAUUUAAUCAAUUAUAUUAGCAUUCGAGUGCAAGCAUUGCUAAAGGGAAAAUACAGCAGUAACAACAACAAGUAACAAAAAA